UGUUUUUCACCUUCUUCCUAAAAAGACCCACACAAAGGUUCAAUGUUCUGUACUUUGUGUCUGCUUUUCCUCCCAACCCCCAGAAUGCUGGCUAAUUGAAUUCCAUUAAUUUUAACUACAGUCCAAUUAGCUAAGUUGUCCUGAAUGUCUUCUUCUUCUUCUAAUUCUUUCUUAGGUUAUAUUUUUUUGCCACUGGUAUUUAUUGUGCCCAUAGGUGGAUAUGUAAUGUAUUCCUCAAUCCAUCUCAUCUUGGCUUAGUGUGUUCUCUGCAUUCUCUUAAAGCAGUGCUUUAGUCCUCAUAUCAGUGUUUUUAAAUUUCUACUUUGAACCUGCCCACUGCUAGUUGUUUUAUCAUCUUCUUUAAUAAUUAAAACAAAAUAAAAUAAGGAGCCAUCUGUCCCCAUCCUUCACGAUAUGAGAAAGUUCAUGCCCUUGGAGGCAUUUUUGAGGAUUCUCAGGGUACUUAGCUGCCCUAUGUGUUACCUGUCACCACUUUAUACUGUUACCUUAGUCUGUGAUAACCUGAUAACUUCUGCUGUCACCACUUAUUACAAUGUAUCAACUCUUUCUGGUCUGUGUUAGCACAAGAGUAAGAUUUCUUAGAUGAGGUGUGUGUUUAUGCUCAUAUUGAGGGAGGGGAGGCGACUGGAGGCAUCAUGUACAGAAGAGGAAACAACUGAAUUUUCAGAUAUCACUGUUGUUAACUUUAUUCUCAUGUACCAAGUUACAAGUGAUCUGCACUACUCAGGUUCAUACAUCUCAGCUAUCUGUAGAGAUUUUAAACAGCUAGAUAAUUACUGAGUUACAGCUGUGGAAAGUAUUCAAGAUAUGAGAUCUGUGAGAGGUGGGUGUUGAUGCAGGCUGGAAGGCUUUCUACUGAUCCCUGAGGUUUAUAGAGAAGAAAGACAGACGAAGGGGCAAGAAAUGCUUGAGAUAGGUAAAAUAGCUUGAGCAAAGGUGUCAGUUAGGGAAAGAGCUGUCAGAGGAAAUGAAAGAGGGACAGUGCUUCCACAAUGUGGAGAGAUAGGUGUGGUGAUAAAAGACAAGGUGCACACAGAGUGGUUCAUUCAGGGCCUUGCAGAUCAGCUAGACUUCUUUGGAUUUCUUUUUUCUUAAGAAGGUGAAAUACUUGAAAGGGGUUAUGCAUUUAUAAAAGAUCACUAGACUGAACCAUGGAGAAUGGAUUAGAUGGUACAGAUAUGGAUGCAGAAAGACAAGAGAGGAAUCUGUUUCAUGGAGCAAGGCAAGAAGUGUUGGAGUCUUGAAUCAGGUUGGUGGCAAGGUAAAUGAAAAGAAGGAAGUGGGCUCAGGAAAUAUUUCAGAGUUAAAAUGGCAGGGUUUGAUGGUAAUUUACUUAAAAGAAUAGGGCUUCACAAUUUAGUGCUAUGGACAGAACUGGAUGAAAUAUAGUUUUUAAGGAAAGAUCUCAUAGAGACUCUCAUAGAAAUUAAGGAAAAUUUUCAAAUUUAAGUCUGGAUAUCAGAGGUUGGAGAUGAAGUUUUGAAGGUGGGAACAUAUACAUGGUAAUAAAAGCCUAGAGAAUGCCGGACUUAUUUAGACAGAAAGUCUAAAGAGUCUAAUGAAUAAUAAUUUUUAAAGGUCAUAGGAUAAUGUUAAAAUUGGCAAUGAACUCUGAAAAGGAUGAGGUAAAAAGAUAAAAAGGAAAAGCAGAGAGUCCUGUUCCAUGGAAUACCAACGAAGAAUAUGUUCCAGAAGAAAAGUGGCCUGUUGUAUAAGAGAUUGCCG
rnacentral:lncRNA from 1 species